rnacentral:misc_RNA from 1 species
GAUGAAGAACGUAGCGAAAUGCGAAAAGUAAUGUGAAUUGCAGAAUUCAGUGAAUCAUCGAAUCUUUGAACGCACAUUGCGCCCGCUGGUACUCCGGCGGGCACGCCUGUCCGAGCGUCAUUUCAACCCUCAAGCCCUCCUUCGGGAUGGGCCUGGUGUUGGGGCUCGGCCGCCAUCUCCGGCGGCCGUCCCCUAAAUACAGUGGCGGUCACGUCGCGACUCCUUUGCGUAGUAGAAACACCUCGCUCCGGAUAGCAACGCGGUCCACGCCGUAAAACCCCCAAUUUUCAAUGGUUGACCUCGGAUCAGGUGGGAAUACCCGCUGAACUUAAGCAUAUCAUAAGCGGAGGA